rnacentral:rRNA from 1 species
UUGGAGGGCAAGUCUGGUGCCAGCAGCCGCGGUAAUUCCAGCUCCAAUAGCGUAUAUUAAAGUUGUUGCAGUUAAAAAGCUCGUAGUUGAAUUUCGGGGUCAGCAGGUUGGUCGUGCCAAUGGUAUGCACUGGCCUUGCUGAUUCCUCCCUCUUGAUGAGCCGUAAUGUCAUUAAUUUGGUGUUGCGGGGAAUCAGGACUGUUACUUUGAAAAAAUUAGAGUGUUUAAAGCAGGCAAGCGCUCGAAUACAUUAGCAUGGAAUAAUGAAAUAGGACGUUUGAUCCUAUUUUGUUGGUUUCUAGGAUUGACGUAAUGAUUAAUAGGGAUAGUUGGGGGCAUUAGUAUUCAAUUGUCAGAGGUGAAAUUCUUGGAUUUAUUGAAGACUAACUACUGCGAAAGCAUUUGCCAAGGAUGUUUUCAUUAAUCAAGAACGAAAGUUAGGGGAUCGAAGACGAUCAGAUACCGUCGUAGUCUUAACCAUAAACUAUGCCGACUAGGGAUCGGAUGAUGUUAAUUUUUUAAUGACUCAUUCGGCACCUUACGGGAAAC